UUAGUCGGUCUCGGAGCAAACGAAGUGAAGCAUGUUAUUUAAUACGACAAUACGCGUAUAACCUUACCAGACCUUGCAUAUCUAGCUCCUUUUUAUUUUUUUAAUUUGAAAAAUAAUACGCAGAUACAGGUGUUGCAUGGCUGUCGUCA
rnacentral:rRNA from 1 species